CGUUUCAUAUGAAUGUUGGUGGAGGGACAGAAUGGCCGGCACUUCAUGUCUUGGGGUAUGGAGACUUGCAAGUGCUUGUUCUUCUCAAACAAGAGCCAUGUUGCGGUGUGCCAGACUGCCUGUUGUCACAGAGACAGCUGCGAUGUUGUGUCAGCACAGCUGCUGUCGUCCCCAGCUUAUAUUGUACAGAAAUGCAGGAUUCUUCAACCGAUUGACUGCGGAUGAAUUAUGGCAGGGGGUGCAAGGAGUCAGUAAUGCUGGCAAGAAACGAGGGCGUGGCAAGCUGCGGACAGGUGGUCGGCGGCGGAUAAACCUUAACAGGGGCCAGGUGAUUGGAGAAGGAAGCACAGCCAUGGUGUGGCCUGGGCUCAACACUCAGGUGAUUCAGGGCAGUCACCUUCUGCGUGUUCAGCAGCUGUCCGCUAACACACAGCGCAUGAAGAGGAUCCAGGAAGCUCGGGAUAAAGGGACCAAGCGCAAAUCUAUCAAAACGCCAGCUCUGAAACGGGGCUUUACUGGAGCCAAGUUUCCUGGGCAAAGUGUUGGAGCUCCUGACCCAGUUGGAGACUAUGAGUUUGAAGGUUUCGACGCAAAGAUACUUGAGUUUAAGUUGGUUGCCAACAUGACCGGAAAUCUGGGCAAGAAGUUCCGGUCAAGCGCAUUUGUAGUGACAGGCAACAAGAAUGGCCUUGCAGGUUAUGCUCUUGCGAAAUCGUCCAGCUUUGACGGUGCCUUCAGGAAAGCCAAGAACAUGGCAUCCCAGCGCUUGCAGUACGUCGACAGGUUCCAGGGACACACAGUGUACCACAACUUCUACUCCAAGGAGAAGGAGACUGCAGUGAUGGUCAGGAAAGCGGCCAAAGGCCAUGGUCUACGGUGUCAUCGAGUUCUCAAAACCAUCUGUGAAAUUAUAGGCAUCGAGGACAUUUAUGUGAAAGUAGAGGGGUCCACAGGCAAUGUGCAGAAUAUGACCAAGGCUUUCUUCAAGGGUCUUCAGAAGCAAGAGAGCCACCAAGAGCUGUCUGAACGUAUGAACCUUCACCUGGUGGAGCUGCGGCGUGAACGAGACUACUUCCCCAACGUCAUCGCAUCACCCACCUCGGAGGUCAGCACCAAGGGCGUCAAGGAGGAAGUGGUCAACUUUGAAAACCUAUACUUUCGUGGACGAGUGCCACUCUACAAAGCUAAGACCAAACCCUUCUGGCAGAAGCAUCCUCACUGGUACAUUAAGUGGGCUCAACUGCAUGUGGUGCGGAACCAACCUGCAGCUCAGCUAGAGAGAAGAGUUGUUGGAUUUGAACCUAGCACUGAGGAAAAAUCAUUGAGACAAUUACCCUUGAAAGGGACAAGAGAGUAAAAAUUAUGUUGCUGAGAACCUUCAAUGUGUCAAUGUUGGUUAUACUUGUGUGGUAUGAAAACUGUCUUGAAACUGUCCAUGUCAGUGCUUUGGAUGAUCAACAGUGAUAAAAUUAGAGGGGUAGAGUCAUAAUUUUAGAAAUGGUGUGAUUUUAAUGCUGGGAUAUUCCUGGAACCAAGAUGUGAUGUGGAUGUCUGUGGUAUGCCAUUGCAACAGGAUGUUAUGCACAUGACAUUAAGAUAAUGGUCAAGGGAUGAGGGAAGAAUACGUGUCCAUUCUUUCUGUCUGAAAUUCAUCACUAAACAUGAAAUGAAUGAGCUACAAGAUAAUUUUAGCAUUAUUACAAUCUUGUGUUGAACUAUUCCAGCAUUGUUGAAUAUUUGUGGGACUUUGCUCCAGGAAGUGUUCUCUCCUCCGACCCAAGAUGUUUGUGUGACAGAAGUGUACAUGUGUACUCAUUAUGUGAGAAAGUAAAACAAAUUUGUUUCCCA
rnacentral:misc_RNA from 1 species